AGGUGAAGCCCAGAGAAGCAGAAGUCACACACAUCUUUAAGGGGAGACUCAGUAGUGCAGGACAGCGAGUCUUGGCUUCAUUCCAAAGAGCUGUCUUUGGAGACAUUUAGAAGGAGGAUACCCAAGAAGACACAGCAGUCUUUGUGUGAACAGUGGGCUAGGAGCUGAAGAGUUGCCUAGAGGCUUUCAGGGGAUCACCAAAUCUGUGCAAGUCCUUCAGAUGAACUACCCUACCCUCUGAAAUGCUUAAUCCAGGUGAUGCAGAAAGAAGAAAGAAAGGUUAUCCAGAGGUUUUGAGAAGAUAUUGUCUGAUGUGUCUGCAGAGUGGGACCCUGUUUGAGAGCUUUUGUCUGUGUGAAAGGCGCCUGCCCACUACAAGGCCCUAGUGGGGAUAGAUCCAUGCAGCACCUGCCUGCCAGGGAAGGCUUGAUACAUCAAGAAAACUUCAGAGGAGUUAUUAUUGCCUCGCACCAAUGGUAAGGAGAAAGAGAAGCAAGUUAUUCAUGUUUAAUGUUGUUUUGUGCCAGAUGUUUUGCUGGUAGAAAUCCAUAGCUCCACAGGCAUCAAUUUCUUCAGGAUCUGGAAUGUUUGACACAAUUUUUUUUCUCCUUUCUGGAUGGUCUGUAAAGGAAGCUGCUUGCUUUUGCAAUAUUGAAUAUUCACGCUGAGAAGUUAUAAGCAAAAACAAAAUAAUGAGAGACAGGGUCUCUAAUAAGCUUCCUGUCACAUGAGGCUGUGGUUCUGGUGCAGCAGAUGUGGUUGCUGACUUGUUUCCAAAAUGUUUGUUGAGUGGUGAUUAGAUUCUGUCAUAGUGAUGUUAUAUCUCUGUGAUCUCAUUCAAUACAAGUAGUUCUGCAAACAGUGAAAUAUUUUUUUCCUAUGGAUUUAUAUCUUGGAUUGUGUUUAGGCAUGGAUUCUCUGAUGUCUAAUGGGGAUUUAAUUCAUUUUAGCCUGUUUCUUCAAUGAGAAAUGAAUAAUCUGUCUUAACUUGGCUGUCUAUUUUCACAGAACUUGCAGGAAUUAAAUAUCAUAAGUUCUAAAAAUCUGGGUGGGAAUUAUGAGCCAGUUCCAACACAAUUUGGGGCCAAUUAAUAUAAACAAACAUAAACAUGAGUCUCAUUUUCUUACAAAAGCAAAAGGUAAGACUCAAUCUUUACUACUUUGUAUUUCCACAUUACCUGCUUGAUUCUCUUCUGGUUUAUUUGUGAUCAACCAUAGAAGGUAUGCUUUAUUUAUAAAGCUAUAUGAAAUAU
ensembl:lncRNA